CGGGAAUUUUGGGCAAUGGGCGAAAGCCUGACCCAGCAACGCCGCGUGAGGGAUGAAGUAUUUCGGUAUGUAAACCUCGAAAGAAUGGGAAGAAUAAAUGACGGUACCAUUUAUAAGCUCCGGCUAACUACGUGCCAGCAGCCGCGGUAAUACGUAGGGAGCAAGCGUUGUUCGGAUUUACUGGGCGUAAAGGGCGCGUAGGCGGCGCGGUAAGUCACUUGUGAAAUCUCUGAGCUUAACUCAGAACGGCCAAGUGAUUCUGCUGUGCUAGAGUGCGGAAGAGGCAACCGGAAUUCUUGGUGUAGCGGUGAAAUGCGUAGAUAUCAAGAGGAACACCUGAGGCGAAGGCGGGUUGCUGGGCCAACACUGACGCUGAUGCGCGAAAGCCAGGGGAGCAAACG
rnacentral:rRNA from 1 species